rnacentral:lncRNA from 1 species
GCGGAAAGCUGGGGGCAAGGUGCACGUACCUGAAAACCUCCAUCUACCUGAUGACGUCGUUCAAGUCCUAGGACUCGGCCCCAAGUUUGGUGUUCAAAAACAGAGGACUAACCCUGAGCUCCUGACCGUCGUUCGUCAGGUGUCGCGGCGUGCUACUGAAGGUGAGGUAGGGAAGACUUACCUCUGAAGGAGUAGACGCCUUAUCACG